rnacentral:sRNA from 1 species
UCGUUUAAAAUUCCCAACAAAGUCCGUA